rnacentral:rRNA from 1 species
CUGGGUACUCGAGUGGCGAACGGGUGAGUAACACGUGGGUGAUCUGCCCCUGACUUUGGGAUAAGCCUGGGAAACUGGGUCUAAUACCGGAUAUGACCUUACAUCGCAUGGUGUUUGGUGGAAAGCUUUUGCGGUUGGGGAUGGGCCCGCGGCCUAUCAGCUUGUUGGUGGGGUAAUGGCCUACCAAGGCGACGACGGGUAGCCGACCUGAGAGGGUGAUCGGCCACACUGGGACUGAGACACGGCCCAGACUCCUACGGGAGGCAGCAGUGGGGAAUAUUGCACAAUGGGCGCAAGCCUGAUGCAGCGACGCCGCGUGAGGGAUGACGGCCUUCGGGUUGUAAACCUCUUUCACCAGGGACGAAGCGUGAGUGACGGUACCUGGAGAAGAAGCACCGGCCAACUACGUGCCAGCAGCCGCGGUAAUACGUAGGGUGCGAGCGUUGUCCGGAAUUACUGGGCGUAAAGAGCUCGUAGGCGGUUUGUCGCGUCGUCUGUGAAAUUCUGCAGCUUAACUGUAGGCGUGCAGGCGAUACGGGCAGACUUGAGUACUACAGGGGAGACUGGAAUUCCUGGUGUAGCGGUGAAAUGCGCAGAUAUCAGGAGGAACACCGGUGGCGAAGGCGGGUCUCUGGGUAGUAACUGACGCUGAGGAGCGAAAGCGUGGGUAGCGAACAGGAUUAGAUACCCUGGUAGUCCACGCCGUAAACGGUGGGUACUAGGUGUGGGGCUCAUUUCACGAGUUCCGUGCCGU